rnacentral:tRNA from 1 species
GGGCUUAUGGUCUAGUUGGUUACGACACCGCCUUCACACGGCGGAGGUCUCCGGUUCGAAUCCGGAUAAGCCCA